ensembl:lncRNA
GCAAACACCACGGGUCUUUUUAUAGGGCACUAUUGUUAAUUCAAGGGCUUCCGCCUCAGGACUUCAUGUGUCACAGGUGCUGUUACCCACUGGCUGAAAAAUAUUGAAUUCUUAAAUUAGGCUUGCCAACUCUUUAAAAAGUUGACCAGGUGGUUCCCACACUGGUGACUGCUGGACUCACCCAUGCACGUGGAAGGGUUGGAGCUGGUGCAUUCCAGAACUGAGAGCCACUUCAUUCCUGUUGUUUAAGCCACCCAGUUCGUGACACUUCUUGGCUAGAACACCAAGAGUUAUUCCAACCUCCCUGUAUAGAUGAGAUGUUAGAAGAGGAAGAGAUGGAGGUGACCUGCUCAGGCUGACGAACGGACCACCGAUGCUGAGAUCUGCACCUGUACCCUGUGU